UACAGAGGGUGCGAGCGUUAAUCGGAAUUACUGGGCGUAAAGCGUGCGUAGGCGGUUGCAUAAGUCGGAUGUGAAAUCCCCGGGCUCAACCUGGGAAUUGCAUUCGAGACUGUGUAGCUGGGGUGCGGAAGAGGGAAGCGGAAUUUCCGGUGUAGCGGUGAAAUGCGUAGAUAUCGGAAGGAACAUCAGUGGCGAAAACGGCUUCCUGGUCCAGCACCGACGUUCAGGCACGAAAGCGUGGGGAGCAAACAGG
rnacentral:rRNA from 1 species